rnacentral:RNase_P_RNA from 1 species
UGAGUUGGCCAGACGACCGCGUCGACGGGUUCGCCCGUCGCCGAGGAACGUCCGGGCUCCACAGAGCGAGGUGGUGGGUAACACCCACCCGGGGUGACCCGCGGGAAAGUGCCACAGAAAAGAGACCGCCGGCGCGCUCGCGUGUCCGGUAAGGGUGAAACGGUGGUGUAAGAGACCACCAGCGUGCCGGGUGACCGGCGCGGCUAGGUAAACCCCACCUGGAGCAAGGUCAGACAGGAUGCGCUCGAGGGCUGCUCGCCCGAGCAUCUGGGUAGGCCGCUAGAGGCGUGCGGCAACGUACGUCGUAGAUGGAUGGUCGUCGUCUGUGCACGGGCAACCAGCACAGGCACAGAACCCGGCGUAUCGGCCAGCUCAUCCG